rnacentral:rRNA from 1 species
AGUACGUGAAACUGCUUAGAGGUUAAGCCCGAUGAACCUGAAUAUCCAUUAUGGAAAAUUCAACAUUAAUAUUAUAAUAUUUAUUUAUAAAUAUUAUAAAAAUAGUGUGCAAUUUUUCCAUAUAAGGACAUUGUAAUCUGUUAAUGUAAUAAAUAUUUAUCAUAAGAUUCAGUAUAUAAAAGUUUAUUCAAAUUAGUUAUUUUCCGAUUUCUAACAUAGAAUAAAUUUAAUUGAAUUUGAUAAAUCAUUGACAGAUUUAUUUAUAUAUAGUGCUUAAAUUCUUAAUUGAAUUUUACAAUAAUUUAUAAAUGUAUUUUCAUUUAUUUAUUUAUUGUAUGCACUUAUAUGAUUAACAAUGCUAUAGAUUCAGGAUACCUUCGGGACCCGUCUUGAAACACGGACCAAGGAGUCUAACAUAUGUGCAAGUCAUUGGGUAUUUUUAAUAAAACCCAAAGGCAUAAUUAACUUAACUGUUUUUUUAUAUGGGAUUAGUUUAUAUUUUAUUAUGAAAUAUUUAUUCAAUCCCGGGGCGUUCUAUAUAGUUAUGUAUAAUAAUAUUUAUAUUAUUUAUGCCUCUAACUAGAGCGUACCUUGAGCAUAUAUGCUGUGACCCGAAAGAUGG